UACAGAGGGUGCGAGCGUUAAUCGGAAUUACUGGGCGUAAAGGGUGCGUAGGCGGCCGGGUAAGUCUGAUGUGAAAUCCCGCAGCUUAACUGCGGAACUGCAUCGGAUACUCUCCGGCUAGAGGAAUGGAGGGGAGACUGGAAUUCUCGGUGUAGCAGUGAAAUGCGUAGAUAUCGAGAGGAACACCAGUGGCGAAGGCGAGUCUCUGGACAUUUCCUAACGCUGAGGCACGAAAGCCAGGGGAGCAAACGGG
rnacentral:rRNA from 1 species